GACGAACGCUGGCGGCGUGCCUAAUACAUGCAAGUCGAACGCAGUGGGGACGGGUGAGUAACACGUGGGUAACCUCCCAUCAGAGGGGAUAACACUUGGAAACAGGUGCUAAACCGAUACUGAUGGAUGGACCCGCCGUGCAUUAGCUAGUUGGUGAGGUAACGGCUCACCAAGCCCACGAUGCAUAGCGGCCGUGUGAGGAUGAUCGGCGACACUGGGACUGAGAAACGGCCCGGACUCCUACGGGAGGCAGCAGUAGGGAAUCUUCGGCAAGGGACGAAAGUCUGACCGUGCAACGCCGCGUGAGGGAAGAAGGUUUUCGGAUCGUAAAACUCUGUUGUUAGAGAAGCGGUAUCUAACCAGAAAGCCACGGCUAACUACGUGCCAGCAGCCGCGGUAAUAC
rnacentral:rRNA from 1 species